rnacentral:rRNA from 2 species
UGGGGAAUAUUGGACAAUGGGCGAAAGCCUGAUCCAGCCAUGCCGCGUGUGUGAAGAAGGUCUUCGGAUUGUAAAGCACUUUAAGUUGGGAGGAAGGGUUGUAGUUUAAUACGCUGCAAUCUUGACGUUACCAACAGAAUAAGCACCGGCUAACUCUGUGCCAGCAGCCGCGGUAAUACAGAGGGUGCAAGCGUUAAUCGGAAUUACUGGGCGUAAAGCGCGCGUAGGCGGCUUGAUAAGAUGGGUGUGAAAUCCCCGGGCUUAACCUGGGAACUGCAUCCAUAACUGUCUGGCUAGAGUACAGUAGAGGGUGGUGGAAUUUCCUGUGUAGCGGUGAAAUGCGUAGAUAUAGGAAGGAACACCAGUGGCGAAGGCGACCACCUGGACUGAUACUGACGCUGAGGUGCGAAAGCGUGGGGAGCAAACAGGAUUAGAUACCCCGGUAGUC